GUGCGACCGCACGAAUACAAACGAAGCGUCGAAGUCGUUUCCUGACUUUCCCGAUGUUAUGUUGUGUGUUUUCCGUGAAACUCUCGUUUUAUUUUUCCAUGUUUUGUGUUAAAUCCGUCGCCUUUUAAUGUUUUUAUGUAUUUGAAGUGUACGUAAAAGUGUAACGAUAACCGACGUUAAGGAUGAACACCGUCUGAGGAAUCAAUUGCUGGGCGAAGCUUCUACUAGGCUAAGGGACAAUAUAUUUUCACCAAACAAG